UACGGGGGGAGCAAGCGUUGUUCGGAUUUACUGGGCGUAAAGGGCGCGUAGGCGGCCAGCACAAGUCAGUUGUGAAAUCUCCGAGCUUAACUCGGAAAGGUCAACUGAUACUGUGCGGCUAGAGUGCGGAAGGGGCAACUGGAAUUCUUGGUGUAGCGGUGAAAUGCGUAGAUAUCAAGAGGAACACCUGCGGCGAAGGCGGGUUGCUGGGCCGACACUGGCGCUGAGGCGCGAAAGCUAGGGGAGCGAACGGG
rnacentral:rRNA from 1 species